rnacentral:rRNA from 1 species
GAUGAACGCUAGCGGCAGGCCUAAUACAUGCAAGUCGGACGGGAUUCAGGAGCUUGCUUCUGAUGAGAGUGGCGCACGGGUGCGUAACACGUAUGUAACCUACCUUUAUCAGGGGGAUAGCCUCUCGAAAGAGAGAUUAAGCCCGCAUAAAAUCACAGCACAGCAUUGUGUAAUGAUCAAAUAUUUAUAGGAUAAAGAUGGGCAUGCGGAACAUUAGCUAGAUGGCGGGGUAACGGCCCACCAUGGCGACGAUGUUUAGGGGAUCUGAGAGGAUGGCCCCCCACACUGGUACUGAGACACGGACCAGACUCCUACGGGAGGCAGCAGUAAGGAAUAUUGGUCAAUGGGCGGAAACCUGAACCAGCCAUGCCGCGUGCAAGAAGACGGCCCUACGGGUUGUAAACUGCUUUUAUACGGGAAUAAACCCAGAUACGUGUAUCUGGCUGAAUGUACUGGAAGAAUAAGGAUCGGCUAACUCCGUG